ACUUGCCCUUAGCAACUCUCUUACACACAGGGAUGUAGCUACAGACAAGUAUUUUAUACCCGUGUACUAGCUGUGAAUAAUGACUAAUCUAAAGAUCUCUGCAGAGUUAUCAAUUGUGGGGUCUAAAAAUGGUGAAAGAGAGGUUAAGUGAAGAGGUUAGGAAGCAUGCUAUGUAUUCUCUGCUAGGGAACCAGGUGAGAAUGGGCCUUUAGAGAUACGCUGAUGUAUUUAGCUUUAGCUUAUUCAGGGAAUGAAUUGAGUAGAGACAGUGGUGAUUUCUUGACUGUGGUAAUUGAUGGUAGUCUUCCCAUGUUUAGAAACAAAGCUGGAGAAAUUGGUUAAGCUUUGAGAGAUUGUAGUGAUCUAUUGGGCAUGGGCUGCAUAUAUUUUACGAAAUAGCAUAAGGACGUGGACACCAUAAGCCCCUAAAUAUUCUUAAUUUAUGAGCCCAAGAUAAGGGAGUAACAAUAGAUAAAUAAAUAAAUAAAUAAAAAAGGUAGCACACAUAUGAUUGACCCCUAGUGGCAGAUCCUAACACCAUUCUUUCUACUGUUUCUUAUGUAAAAUACACGCUGAGCAAUGUUGGCUUCAAGCUGACACUGAGGUAAUGGAUCUUUUUUACUUCUCAAAGUAGCAUCUUGCAUGAGACUUUCGUUAAUACCGUGAAUGUACCUGUGGGUGAUCUGUGGGGUUACCAAGGGCAAUCGAGGCCGUGUAAAUACGCUAGAGAUGGAGGAACUAGUAUAUAGCAUUGAAGGGUUCAAGUACGUGUGAAAGAUGGAAGUAAAAUACGGAAGUAUUGAACAGAAGAGAAGGGUUUUGGUGCAAGGUAGUAUACUGCCUUUACUGCAGUACUGUGAGAGACACUGAGGACCUUGCUCAAACACGGCAGGAAGUUAGGCACUGGAAAGCCAGUGAGAUUUACAGGGAAAUUGCAAAUAGGGAUUUGGCAGAAACGUGUUUGAAAAUGCUUGUAUGUGGAGAAUUGAGGAUUUAAGCAUAAGGAUUUUAAAUGACUUGUGACAUUUGAGCUUAUGGGUGAAUAGGAGACUCCUGACUAGUGCAGGAACCCCCAAUACAAAAUGGGGGACUGGUACAAGAAACUAACUAAUCAAUUCAAACUAACUAAUCAUUUGUUCUCCAUUUUAGGAUAAGACUGGGUGACGUAGCCACCAGCGGUGCGCCUCUCUGUGAAAGCGGGACCGAGUAAUUAACACCGAAUAAUUAACAUUUGCUUCCACCCUUUCGACACAUGAGGACUCCUGGUGAUUAGUGUAUUGGUGGGGAAUUGCAUGUAAUGGGUGACCGUUUAGGUGAAUAUUGCAGGCUUGUGUCCUAAGUGUCUUUCACAGGAUCACAGAACUGGACCUGACCCGGCGGAGGACAAAGAAGAAACAUGCCUGGUUGAACCUGGAGACAAGGUCCUGGUGUUCUAAAGUUGCUUAGGAUUUCUCUCUCAAGAAUUUUAACUAGUGACAAGCUGAACUUCAGAGCAAAUUUCCUCCCAGUUCCUACGCCAGGUGAAGUUUGUUUUAUCAUUUACAUUUUAUAUAGAGAGUACAUUUUCUAACCACAAUGUGUUUAAAUUCAUCAAUAAACUGUGAUGAGUCAUCAGGAAACUUCAGCCUGCUGCAACUUCCCCUUUGACCAUAACACUUAGCUUGAGAUAAUGUGGGAAAUAACUGAGUUACAAAAGCUGAUUUUAUGAAAUCCCAAAGUGUCUUUUAGUAUAUUUUUAUGCCUGUUUGCAGGAAAUUGCAUCUUUAUUAUAGUUUUUUGGGUGAGAACCCCCCAGACCCUCUGCUCUAUAUUUUUUCGAUGUGCCUCCAUUAUGUUUUUAUGUUCAUCAUAACAUCCCUGCCUGUGUCAUAUUCUUAUUUUGCUGUAACAGUGACACUGCAUAGCUUAUUAGUAAACAGACCGUUACCAUUAGUUAUUUUAAAGAAAAACAUUAUAACCAUGAAGUUACUAUGGUGUGUGCGUGUGUGUGCGUGCGUGUGUGUGAUAAAAAGUGAAGAUUCAUUCAACCGCUCACUGUUUUAUUAUAUUUUAGUUCACUCAGAAGUGUUUUCUUUCAACAGAAUAUUGAGAAAAGUGCUUGUUCAACUUGUAUGGGGACUAGGGGAAGUUAUCUAUUCUGCAAUAACGGAACUGAAAGUCCUGGUGUGUCAACUUGAAAAGAAAUUAUGAUUUACUCACAUUGUUUCACUACUGGCCUGGAGGUGUGAUGAAAGAUGGAUCUUGAAUUGGCGGGACUCAUUGCACUCCUAUUUCUUUCUUAUGUAUUGCCCUUUACGCUUGGACUUACGGGGGCUCUCCACCUUGAUGAGUGUCCCCAGCAGCCCUAUAUCCCUAUCUAUCUGGGUGUUGGUGGACUGCUCGCUGUGGCUGCUCAACUGCCCUAUCUGAAAUGUUGUGAGCGGCGGACAGAUGAGAGACCUGCGCUUCGCUCCCUUCUCAAAGUCUACAAAGCUCUGAUCUUCCUAGUCCUGUUCGGCUGGUUUAUUACUGGUAGUGUGUGGGUUUACUCCAUAUACCCUCCAAACUACGACUCCUCUGGUACUGUGUACUGUGCAAAAACACUGUACCUGGUUGCUUUCUGGUUCACAAAUAUAUGUUACAUCUUCAUCGCCAUGGGCUUGGCCUUUGGACUUUACUUCUACCUGAAGAAUGGUUGUGACCUGAACAUCUGCUCCUUUUUCAGAUCCCGUUCCUAUACUCCCUUAACUUAACCACAUAUUGAAUCAUGCUCUUACAAUAUUGCUGUGACAUUGGGCCAAGUUAUUGCUACAUCACGAGAAUAUUAUGUGUUAUGGUACAAUUGGAACAAGUCAAACUGACUACGUCCAAAGGGGUUUUUGUUGACUCUCAAUAGAAACUGUCUCAAUUGUUAGAUACACAGUGUGUAAUGAUGUUACAAUGCUGGGGAAGCUUCCUUCUAGGGACACAAAACAUGGGCAUUGUUCAGACUUAGACCUUUGGAAAUUAACUGAGUAACCUUCCAAAAGAAGCCAAUGAGUUUUAGUAAUAUAUGAUGUAAUAUUACAUCCUAAUAUCUUAAAUUACAAUUAAGUGGAUGUGUCGAUAAAAGGGAAAUAGCAAUAUUAUCUGAUCACCCCUUUCUCUAGUGAUGCUUAAUGUUAAUGGAUGGAAGAAAAUAAUUGCGCUUGUUCUAGUAAUGAGUAGAAAAUGUGUACAAUCAUAAUUAAGAUUCACAUGUACAAAAUGUAUAAAAAUGGACCCAUAUGUUUAUGUGAAUUAAGAAUUUUAAGUUCUUUUCAUUUUCUGUUUACAACAAACGCAAAUUGUAACCUGGACUCUCGUUCGCGAACUACUGAAUUUUUGAAAUGUUUUGCCGAGUGACUAUUCUAUCUGCGUACAGUUUAGUAACCUAUUAGGGCAUGCACAAUAAAAAAAUUUAAACAGUUUGACGAACCAAAAUUUUUAUUGUGAUCUGUGUUCUCUUAACGGUAGCCAACAUUAAUUCUGUGUAUUCUAUAUUUUCCCUUCUGACUUUACACUCCAUAAUAGGCCUACGUAUACAGCACGAACUUCUCCGGAGUGGAAAAAUUAUGGUCGUUUUAACAAUAUUUUACGGUAAAUACAAGCAGUUUUCCAGAAUGUCAUUGGUGAUACAUAAAAAGGCAGUACUAAUCUGGAAACGACAGAAAAGCUACCGAUGAAGGGGCGCUCUCGUUCCAUCUCGCUGUUUCUAUGUUGAGCAGAAUAAAACACUGUAAAUCGAGUCUAAAUGCGCAGACGCACAAUUAACCAAUGGUAUCGUCAGAUAACUGAAUCGCAGGUAUCCGCGCAACAUGCAUACAGCCUAAUUUACUAGACCCUAUGACCAGGGGUUGAACCGUUCUGUGGGUUGAAUGAUCUUGAUUUUACUUACAAAUACCGAAAGAAAAAACAAAGACGUGAAGGACAUUGCAUUGUCUUUACAGAAAUGACAGGCAAAGACUACACUGGUAAAAGAACUGGUUUCGAAGUGCCUGCAGGCUCGGAAUCUAGCAUAUUGUCCAUACAGCCACUUUCCUGUAGGUGCUGCAAUAUUAACGACAGCGGGCGAUAUAGUCAC